GACGAACGCUGGCGGCGUGUUUAACACAUGCAAGUCGAACGGAAAGGCCCUGCUUUUGUGGGGUGCUCGAGUGGCGAACGGGUGAGUAACACGUGAGUAACCUGCCCUUGACUUUGGGAUAACUUCAGGAAACUGGGGCUAAUACCGGAUAGGAGCUCCUGCUGCAUGGUGGGGGUUGGAAAGUUUCGGCGGUUGGGGAUGGACUCGCGGCUUAUCAGCUUGUUGGUGGGGUAGUGGCUUACCAAGGCUUUGACGGGUAGCCGGCCUGAGAGGGUGACCGGCCACAUUGGGACUGAGAUACGGCCCAGACUCCUACGGGAGGCAGCAGUGGGGAAUAUUGCACAAUGGGCGGAAGCCUGAUGCAGCAACGCCGCGUGCGGGAUGACGGCCUUCGGGUUGUAAACCGCUUUCGCCUGUGACGAAGCGUGAGUGACGGUAAUGGGUAAAGAAGCACCGGCGAACUACGU
rnacentral:rRNA from 1 species